GAUCAAUCAGAGAAGCCUAUGCAAGUCAUAAGUUUGAUUCACAUCUCAUCUCAACGUGUGACAACAAAGUACUAAACUAAGAUUCCAAGAUACAAGAUAACAGUUAAGUCGGUGUAGCAAAGAAAAUGGAGAAAACUGUCUUCCUGGCUGUGUUGGUGCUUUGUGUUACUCUUGUCUUAGCGGACAAAGAAGAAAUAGAUUUGAAGCCCCGAGCCAAAAACUGUGAAUGUCCAAAUGGUGAAAUGGCCGGUCAGCGUGGCGACCUUUGGAUAAAAAUGAAGUGCCCGGUUAAUGGCUUUCAUUACAACUUUGGUUGUUAUACUUUUUUUGGCCUCUCUUGCUUUCCGGGAGGACAAUGAUCAACAUAGUGCUAAAGGGGAUCCUGAAUUUAAAAAAGUGGAAAUUAGAAAAUGCAAUCUAGUCUAAAAGCACCCGUUAUCUAAAGUACACUUGGUAAUACAGAUUUUGGUUAAAAAAAUCCUUUUCUUACUU